rnacentral:rRNA from 1 species
AACUACUAUUUGCUUCCCAAGAACCCGACCCCUUGCGCACCUUGCAAGGAUAGCAUCACCAAGGUGAUGUUUCUCGCUGCCGUGGCUAAACCAAGAUAUGGCGAAGGUGGUGAGGUCACAUUUGAUGGAAAGCUCGGCAUUUGGGCUUUUGUCACAGAGUCUCCUGCUCAAAGAACGAGUGAAAAUAGAGAUAAAGGGACACUCGAGCUCAAAUCAUUGAAAGUCACACGAGAUGUAAUGAGGUAUUACAUGUGUGAGAAACUUAUUCCUGCGAUCCAAGAGCGCUGGCCGGACGAAGAUGAAGGACGGACAAUCUAUAUCCAACAAGAUAAUGCCACACCACAUAUUAUUCCCGAUGACCCGGUUUUUCGACAAGUCGUAGAACAGACUGAUUUGGAAAUUAAGUUGCUUCAACAGCCUCCAAACAGUCCCGACAUGAACAUUCUUGAUCUCUGCAUAUUCAGGUCUCUCUAG